rnacentral:rRNA from 1 species
AAUCAACGCUGGCGGCGUGCCUCAGACAUGCAAGUCGAACGCGAAAGUCCCCCUCGGGGGACAAGUAGAGUGGCGCACGGGUGAGUAACACGUAGGUAAUCUACCUUCGGGUGGGGAAUAACAAUCGGAAACGGUUGCUAAUACCGCAUAAUGCAGCGGCACCUAAUGGUGACAGUUGUUAAAGCGGGGGAUCGCAAGAUCUCGCGCCUGAAGAGGAGCCUGCGGCGGAUAGCUAGUUGGUAGGGUAAUGGCCUACCAAGGCGACGAUCCGUAGCCGGCCUGAGAGGGCGGUCGGCCACACUGACACUGACAUACGGGUCAGACUCCUACGGGAGGCAGCAGUCGGGAAUUUUGGGCAAUGGGCGAAAGCCUGACCCAGCAACGCCGCGUGAAGGAUGAAAUCCCUCGGGAUGUAAACUUCGCAAGAACGGGAAGAAUAAGUUUGUGCUAAUACCACAAGCGAUGACGGUACUGUUU